GCCCGGGUGGCUCAGUCGGUUGAGCGUCCGACUUCGGCUCAGGUCACGAUCUCGCGGUCCGUGAGUUCGAGCCCCGCGUCGGGCU
rnacentral:tRNA from 1 species